rnacentral:lncRNA from 1 species
AAAAUUAUUAAUGUACGGUGGUUAGCCGAUGAUGGGUGACGGCGGUCACAAUGAUGGACGACUCAAAAGGGAGGGAAAAAGGGUAGCAAAUUCAUGUGGCACAAGGAAAUGGAGUGAAAAUAAAACAAUGAAAAAGAUAGGGAAAUAAUGGACCGAAGAGGAGAGAAGAGAAUAGAGAAAAUUGGUGGAAAGGGUAGUAAAGGCGGAGGCUUUAGGGGUGGUGAUGGCUUAAAAGGGUGGUGCAAGAUGGCUCAAGG